rnacentral:rRNA from 1 species
AAACUUAAAGGAAUUGACGGGGCCGCACAAGCGGUGGAGCAUGUGGUUUAAUUCGAAGCAACGCGAAGAACCUUACCAGGUCUUGACAUCCCCUGACAACCCGAGAGAUCGGGCGUUCCCCUUCGGGGGACAGGGUGACAGGUGGUGCAUGGUUGUCGUCAGCUCGUGUCGUGAGAUGUUGGGUUAAGUCCCGCAACGAGCGCAACCCUCGACCUUAGUUGCCAGCAUUCAGUUGGGCACUCUAAGGUGACUGCCGGCUAAAAGUCGGAGGAAGGUGGGGAUGACGUCAAAUCAUCAUGCCCCUUAUGACCUGGGCUACACACGUGCUACAAUGGGCGGUACAAAGGGUCGCGAACCCGCGAGGGGGAGCCAAUCCCAAAAAGCCGCUCUCAGUUCGGAUUGCAGGCUGCAACUCGCCUGCAUGAAGCCGGAAUCGCUAGUAAUCGCGGAUCAGCAUGCCGCGGUCGAAUACGUUCCCGGGCCUU